rnacentral:rRNA from 1 species
AGAGUUUGAUCAUGGCUCAGAUUGAACGCUGGCGGCAGGCUUAACACAUGCAAGUCGAGCGGAGAGAGGUAGCUUGCUACUGAUCUUAGCGGCGGACGGGUGAGUAAUGCUUAGGAAACUGCCUAUUAGUGGGGGACAACAUUUCGAAAGGAAUGCUAAUACCGCAUACGUCCUACGGGAGAAAGCAGGGGAUCUUCGGACCUUGCGCUAUAGAUGAGCCUAAGUCGGAUUAGCUAGCUGGUGGGGUAAAGGCCUACCAAGGCGACGAUCUGUAGCGGGUCUGAGAGGAUGAUCCGCCACACUGGGACUGAGACACGGCCCAGACUCCUACGGGAGGCAGCAGUGGGGAAUAUUGGACAAUGGGCGCAAGCCUGAUCCAGCCAUGCCGCGUGUGUGAAGAAGGCCUUAUGGUUGUAAAGCACUUUAAGCGAGGAGGAGGCUACUUUAGUUAAUACCUAGAGAUAGUGGACGUUACUCGCAGAAUAAGCACCGGCUAACUCUGUGCCAGCAGCCGCGGUAAUACAGAGGGUGCAAGCGUUAAUCGGAUUUACUGGGCGUAAAGCGCGCGUAGGCGGCUAAUUAAGUCAAAUGUGAAAUCCCCGAGCUUAACUUGGGAAUUGCAUUCGAUACUGGUUAGCUAGAGUGUGGGAGAGGAUGGUAGAAUUCCAGGUGUAGCGGUGAAAUGCGUAGAGAUCUGGAGGAAUACCGAUGGCGAAGGCAGCCAUCUGGCCUAACACUGACGCUGAGGUGCGAAAGCAUGGGGAGCAAACAGGAUUAGAUACCCUGGUAGUCC